AACGCGAAGAACCUUACCUAGACUUGACAUCUCCUGAAUUACCCUUAACCGGGGAAGCCCUUCGGGGCAGGAAGACAGGUGGUGCAUGGUUGUCGUCAGCUCGUGUCGUGAGAUGUUGGGUUAAGUCCCGCAACGAGCGCAACCCCUAUUUUUAGUUGCUACCAUUCAGUUGAGCACUCUAAAGAGACUGCCCGGGUUAACCGGGAGGAAGGUGGGGAUGACGUCAAAUCAUCAUGCCCCUUAUGUCUAGGGCUACACACGUGCUACAAUGGUGAGAACAAAGAGACGCGAGACCGCGAGGUGGAGCAAACCUCAUAAAACUCAUCCCAGUUCGGAUUGCAGGCUGAAACUCGCCUGCAUGAAGCCGGAGUUGCUAGUAAUCGCGAAUCAGCAUGUCGCGGUGAAUACGUUCCCGGGUCUUGUACACACCGAAUCGUCGACC
rnacentral:rRNA from 1 species